AUGAGCUUUGUUCAAGAGCAUAGCUCAUGCCAAAACAAUUACUCACAUGGGUGGCCUGGAAACCCAAAUAUGUCAUAUAGGAGCAACAACCCUGAGAUCUCAUCGUUUGCCUCUAGUUAUCCAAUGCAGGGAUUUAGGUACAAUGAGGAGAGCCACAACUAUGCUCCACAACAGUCUUAUUCAGCUCCUAUUCAUAUACCUCAGCACCAGGAUAUGUGUCCAAUGGAGUUAAAUGGUCCUCCAUUUGGCCAACCAACAACUUCAGCACCUAAUGAGUCGGUAGAGCAAUCUCGUGUGCAAGUGCCCACACAAGAUGAGUUCGAUGACAUAGACAAGCUCACACUUUUGCGUCUCGAGUUCACUUGGAGUGCCGAGGAUGAUCCUAUUAGGAAGGUUAUACUAGAGGAAAUGAAGAAGAUCAAGAGUGGAAAAGAGCUAGUGGAAGAAGUAAGGAAGAUUGAGAAGAAUAUCAACACUGGCAGCACUAUUUCUUCACAGCUAGAGCUAAGUAUUUAUGGGAUAUCCUUUGAUACAUGUGAGGUUCCAACACCGUCACAUCCAGCUGAGCAAGAUAGCAAGAGUCCAGAGGAAGAGAGACCUCAGAUUGAAGAUGAACUAGAAGACAAGGAACAAGAUGAUCAAGAGCUGCAAUUUCCAAGUGAUCAAGUUGAAGACUCAUCAUCUACUACUCCUGAAGAAGUACACGAAGCUGAUGUAGAUGAAGAUGAAGAACCUGAGAUUCAUUUGCCUAUUGUCAUACAAGAGUGUGAUGUGUCAGGUUUACACAAUCCUCUUGAUGACAUGCUGCCUUGUGAUUUCUAUGCUUCUAACUUUCAUUGCAUGAUGCCAUCACUUAAGGUAGAUUUGAAAAACUACUUGCUUGGACAUGAUCAUACACACCCUGUUAGUGGCAUUACUCUCAUUUGUGAUGAUCACAGUUACUUUCCUCGUGCUAGUUCUAUGCUUAAUGAAACAUAUCAUUCCCAUGCUAGUCUUGAGCUUAAUGAUAAAUAUCAUCCUCAUGUUAGCAUUGAGCUUACUGAUUCGUACCAUCCUAAAGAUGUGCUUUAUAGCUAUGCUUAUGUAAUUGGGUACUCUAUAGAUGAUUUAGAGGGCAUUGCCCUUGUCACUUGUAUUGUUUCCUUGGUUGAGUGCUCUUUCAGGUUGUUGCCUGUGCACGAUCCACUACAUGCUGACCAAGUUCGAGAUGACAUUCCCUGGGAUCCCGGUGGACCCAUGGCAUGGGGAUGA
rnacentral:rRNA from 1 species